rnacentral:rRNA from 1 species
CGCGGCCUAUCAGCUUGUUGGUGAGGUAGUGGCUCACCAAGGCGACGACGGGUAGCCGGCCUGAGAGGGCGACCGGCCACACUGGGACUGAGACACGGCCCAGACUCCUACGGGAGGCAGCAGUGGGGAAUAUUGCACAAUGGGCGAAAGCCUGAUGCAGCGACGCCGCGUGAGGGAUGACGGCCUUCGGGUUGUAAACCUCUUUCAGCAGGGAAGAAGCGAAAGUGACGGUACCUGCAGAAGAAGCGCCGGCUAACUACGUGCCAGCAGCCGCGGUGAUACGUAGGGCGCAAGCGUUGUCCGGAAUUAUUGGGCGUAAAGAGCUCGUAGGCGGCUUGUCACGUCGGGUGUGAAAGCCCGGGGCUUAACCCCGGGUCUGCAUUCGAUACGGGCUAGCUAGAGUGUGGUAGGGGAGAUCGGAAUUCCUGGUGUAGCGGUGAAAUGCGCAGAUAUCAGGAGGAACACCGGUGGCGAAGGCGGAUCUCUGGGCCAUUACUGACGCUGAGGAGCGAAAGCGUGGGGAGCGAACAGGAUUAGAUACCCUGGUAGUCCACGCCGUAAACGGUGGGAACUAGGUGUUGGCGACAUUCCACGUCGUCGGUGCCGCAGCUAACGCAUUAAGUUCCCCGCCUGGGGAGUACGG